GGUUGAAAAUUCCUGGUCUAAACGGGGAUACAGAGAAGCAGAGAAGCAUCUUCUUCAGAGGAAGAUGCAGAGGCAGGAAGAUGGAGAGGCAUGACCAGGGAAAGUGAGGGAAGCCAGAGAUGAAAGAGGAAGAAGACAACCUUUGGAGACAGAACUAAGGGAAUUCCAGAGAAAAAUAUCCUAUUAUCAAAACCCAGAAAAUCUUCAAUGAAAUGUUUGGACCUCAGA